GACAAAUAUGCAUAAUGAAAUAAUUAUGGCUGCCCUCGACUUAAGUUUUUUCUAGUCAACUAGUAGUCGUUCAUUUUUAGCAAUUAGUCAAUUA